rnacentral:rRNA from 1 species
AUUGAACGCUGGCGGCAGGCCUAACACAUGCAAGUCGAACGAGUGGCGGACGGGUGAGUAAUGUCUGGGAAACUGCCCGAUGGAGGGGGAUAACUACUGGAAACGGUAGCUAAUACCGCAUACUCUCGGAUGUGCCCAGAUGGGAUUAGCUAGUUGGUGGGGUAACGGCUCACCUAGGCGAUGAUCCCUAGCUGGUCUGAGAGGAUGACCUGCCAACUGGGAACGGGGACACGGUCCAGACUCCUACGGGAGGCAGCAGUGGGGAAUAUUGCAAAAUGGGGGCAAGCCUGAUGCAGCCAUGCCGCGUGGAUGAAGAAGGCCUUCGGGUUGUAAGGUACUUUCAGCGAGGAGGCGUUACUCGCAGAAGAAGCACCGGCUAACUCCGUGCCAGCAGCCGCGGUAAUAC